ACCCAGUCACACAGUUCCUCCCAACGUGAACAUAAGAACCAAUCUGGGCAGCGUUGACCACACAGUCUUCCUCAAUAAAGACAUGAUCCCCAAUAUGCAGAGGAAAGAAGGUAACACCUUUGCUGAAUUUUUUUGAAUGGUGGCCUUAUGACACUACGGCUUUUCACAACACAGUGACAUCCAACUCUUACACUUGCGAGUUCUCCUCGGAUGAUACAGUCGUUCAUUAUAAUGGUCUUGCCAUUGAGAAAGAUGUUCUGCCUUCCCACAAAACAGACUAGCGACUAACUUUUUGUUCCCAGAUGCCGUCUCGAUGUACUCCGACUUGUUGUACAGCAGUUCGCCCAACUCCAUGGCUGCCCCCUCUCUGAAUCUCAGGAUCCUGUCAGUCGGAUAAUCUGUUUCUAAGACUGACUUUGGAACCAGACAACAGCAAGUGCUGUCAGGAAGAUAGGCAAGUUCUCUGGGAGACUCAGAGAAAGGAUGUGAAACCCUCUAUCAGGGGAUACCACUCAGGGACUUCCUGAUUUGUACUGUGAGCUGAUCCAUUUAGGUACAAUGCUGUCUCAUAGUUUCUGGAUGUCACUGUCACUUGUGACUUCUCAUUCUGGUGCCUGCAGGGUAGUCCAUUAACAGACAUAGUUUGCAUUUCUAGAUAGGAGAAGGUGCUUGCCAGCAGUGCAUUAGAAGGCCAGCAGGUUACUCUAGAGUUCUCCAUCCUGGAGAUAAAAUAUAUACUUAAGGUUUCUUAUUGUUUUGGCUUAAAAAAAAAAAAAAACAGAACUGUUCUCGAGGCUCUAUAGAGUUUUAGCAAUUUCAUUCCUCAUAGAGCUUUAGGAUCAAUUUUUCUUAGAUUAGAGAAUUUUUCAAGCACAAAACAGUAUGUAAAAACCAAAUGGCUGAUUAUAAUAGUACUGAUCAUUUGUUAAAUACCUAUAGCACACACAGCAUUGCUCUAUGUUCUGAUCCGUUCCCACAUGGGGUGCGUGGGCUGUUCCCCAUUUGCACAGGAGGAGCUGGAACAGCAGUGUGCUUUAGUCACUUGUCCAAUUUCAAUCAGUAGACAGCUAGACCUCAAACCUAAACUUUGAGAUCCAGGGCUUUAUGCUCUACUUUUUCCCAGAUCCACAUGCUGCGGUCCUGUAGAUCCAUGCGAAGUGCUCCUGUAGAGCUACGUGCUGUGCUCCUAUCCACAUGCUGUGCUCCUAUAGUUGCUAUACAGAGAUGUUAAAUGACCUUUUUCACCAAUCUAAAAGAAUGACUCCCAAGUAACUCAUAGCCUCCAUCUUCAGAGCUGAAAGCAGAAUGUGAAUUGGUUCCUGUCUAGCUGGUGAUGUUUAGAAAGCCUGCAAUCUUGUCAUUGUCACCUGAUGCCAGUAUGAGGCUUAGGCACAUCAGCUUUGCUAAAUACAGAGAAGAAGUCUUCCUAAAACACAGCUGGCCCUCAGGAUAGGGGCUGAAAGCAAGGAACCCCUCCUGAUGAAAUGCUUUUGGUAUGCGUGGAAUGACCUCCUGGGACGGCUUUCAAAUGGUGCUUUCUAACUAGUUGGUUCUGUAGAGGAGUCUCAGAACUUUGCAGUGGAGGAGCCUUUGAGAACAUCUAACCCAGCAGCCUCCUUUCAUACCCAGUCUUACCUACAAAAUCCCAAGCCUCCCAGGAAAGACUGCGAUUAUGGCCACAGACAAAGACCUCCUGGGGUAUAUGUGAUUAACAGUAGUAAAAUU
rnacentral:lncRNA from 1 species